rnacentral:lncRNA from 1 species
UACAAAUUAAAUCAUGUGGCAUGUCAGAUGGAGAUUACCAUGAACAAAAGAACACUGGAUAGGGAGUUCCUGAGUUAUUACGGUGGCACUUUUACUUAGCACAGUCAGGAAAGAGCUCCUGUAAAUGGUGACAAUUGAGGAAACACCUGGAGGAGGUAAAGAAGUCAGCCCAUGGAUAUCUGGGUCAGAAGCACUCCAGGCAGAGGGAUGAGCAAACACAGACACCCUGAGAAAGGAAUGCAGCUGGCAUGGUGGAGGAGUAGCCCAAAGGCCAAUGUGAGUGUGGCCCAAGCAGGGAGAAUGAAGAGACAACAGAACUGCCUGAUACCCACAAGGGACUAACGACUGAGUGAAUGAAGGGAAGAAUGAAUAAGUAAUCAACAGACAGGAUCUACCUCAACUGCUUUACUUGUACCCACUCAAUCAUCACAGCAAUACCAUAAGGUAAAUGCUACUUCUCCCAGUUUUCAGAUAAGAAACAGAAGUCCAAGCAUUUCAAGUAACUUGCUCAAGAAAAUUUACGUAUCCAGGACUCAAACCCAGGCAAUUUAAUCCUGAAGUCCUGCUUACCCUUAUCAUUACAUGUGAUUGUCCCUUCUGUCAAUUUAUCUCUGUGUUGGCAUUAACUCAGACACCUUGGACAUGGCUCAGUCUCGAUCCUUAUGCACUGAACUCCCAACACUAAACACACACACAG